UCGACCUCAGAUCAGACGAGACGAUCCGCUGAAUUUAAGCAUAUUACUAAGCGGAGGAAAAAAACUAACCGGAUUCCCUUCAGAGCGGCGAGCGAAGAGGGAAGAGCCCGCGCCGAAUCCAGUCCGGCGGGCGGACGAGGGAAAUUGGCGUCCGGAAGACCGCUUGCCCGGUUGCGCGCGGGGCGCUGAGUCCUUCUGAUAGAGGCUCAGCCCGUAGGCGUUGUGAGGCCGGUGUCGGCCCCCGUCGCGCCGGGGUCCGGCCUUCUCGGAGUCGGGUUGGGUCCGGCCUUCUCGGAGUCGGGUUGGUUGGGAAUGCAGCCCAAGCGGGUGGUAAACCUCCAUCAAGGCUAAAUACCGGCACGAGACCGAUAUCGACAGUACCUUAAGGCAAGGUUGAAAAAGAACUUUGAAGAGAGAUCAAGAGGGCGUGAAACCGUUGAGAGGUAAACGGGUGGGGUCCGCGCGGCCGCUCGGGGGAUUCAGCCCGUCGGGCAAGGGUUGGCGGCCGGGCGCCGGUUGGGAUCCACUUGUGGGACCCCCCGCCCGACCCUGACCGGCCCCCGCCGGGUGCAUUUCCCCCGCGGCGGUGCGUCGCGACCGGCUCCGGCUCGGCCAUGAAGGGCCCGGGGGCGAAGGUGGCACGCGGCCCUGGCUGCCGCGUGCUUUACAGCGCCCCCCCCCGGACUUCGCCCGCCGGGGCGUGGAACUAAGUGCCACUGCGCCCUCUCUCCCCCCGCGGGAGGGACGGGGCCCCUCCGCCCCCGGCGCGACUGUCGACUGGGGCGUACUGUUCCCAGUGCGCCUCGACCGCGUCGCGCCCCCCCGGCGGGGUCGGCCCACGUACAACGGGCGCAAGGGGUCAGCGGCGAUGUCGGCUACCCACCCGACCCCCUUGUAACACGGACCAAGGAGUGCGCCACGGGGCCGAGUCAGAGGGUGCCGAACGAAACCCCGUGGCGCAAUGAAAGGAGGGCCGGCGCGCGCCGGCUGAGGUGGGAUCCCGGGCCGACCUCGGUCCCGGGCGCUCCACCUCCCCGUCUCGCCCGCCCCUGCGGGGAGGGGGAGCGUGAGCGCGUGCGAUAGGACCCGAACGAUUGUUGAACUAUGCCUGGGCAGGGCGAAGCCAGAGGUAUGCCUGGGCAGGGCGAAGCCAGAGGCAACUCUGGUGGAGGCCAAGCGGUCCUGACGUGCAAAUCGGUCGUCCGACCUGGUUAGGGGCCGUAAGACCCUCACCAUCUAUAGGGGCGAAAGACUAAUCGAACCAUCAAGAGCUGGUUCCCUCUGGAGUUUCCCUCAGGAUAGCUGGCGCUCGAAGUCUCGCGCUUUAUCUGGUAAAGCGGUCUCGCAGUUUUAUCUGGUAAAGCGAAUUAUUAGAGGCGUGGGGCCGAAACGAUCUCACCUAAUCCUCAACUUUAAAUGGGUAAGAAGCCCGGCUCGCUGGCUUCCAACCUAUUCUCAAACUUUAAAUGGAAGAACCCGGCUCGCUGGCCUUGGAGGCCGGGGUGGAAUCGAGCGCCAGUGGGCCAUUUUUGUAAGCAGUCUGGCGUGCGGGAUGAACCGAAAGCCGGGUUAAGGCGGCCGGAGCCCGACGCUCAUCAGCCCCCAGAAAAGGGUUUUGUGAUAUAGACAGCGGGCGGUGGCCAGGAAGUCGGAACCCGCUAAGGAGUGGGCCAUGGAAGUGGGCACCCGCUAAGGAGCUGUACAAAACCACCUGCCGAAUCAACUACCCUGAAAAGGAUGGCGCUGGACCGUCGGGCCCAUAACCGGGCCGUCGCCGGCAACGGGAGCCGGCGAGGGCUAGGCCGCGACGAGUAGGAGGGCGCCGCGGUGCGCACAGAAGCCUGGGGCGCGAGCCGGGGUGGAGCCGCCGCGGGGGGAUCUUGGUGGUAGUAGCAAAUAUUCAAACGAGAAUUUUAAGGCCAAGUGGAGAAGGGUUCCAUGUAACAGCGUUGAACAUGGGCAGUCGUCCUAAGGGAUGGGCGAACGCCGUUCGGAGGUGCGGGGCGAUGGCCUUGUCCCCCCGGCCGAUCGAAAGGGAUCGGGUUCAGAUCCCCGAACCUGGGGGGGGGUUCAGAUCCCCGAACCUGGAGUGGCGGAUACAGGCGCCGCGAGGCGUCCAGUGCGGUAAUCGGAACAGGCGCCGCGAAGCCGUCCAGUGCGGGACGCAAGCGAACCCGGAGAAGCCGGCGGGAGCCCCGGGGAGAGUUCCUCUUUUCUUUGUGAAGUCAGGGGGCCCUGGAAUGGGUUCGCCCCGAGAGAGGGGCCCGUGCCCUGGAAACGUCGCGGUUCCGGCGGCGUCCGGUGGCUCUCGCGGUUCCGGCGGCGUCCGGUGAGCUCUCCCGGCCCUUGAAAAUCGGGGGAGAGGGUGUAAGUCCGCGCCAGGCCGCUUAUCUCCCUUGAUCUAACAUGCCACGGGCGUACCCAUAUCCCAGCAGGUCCAAGGUGAACAGCUCUUGCAUUAGUCAAGGAGGCUAAAGGGAGUCGGCAAAUCAGAUCCGUAACUUCGGGUAAGGAUUGGCUCUAAGGGCUGGGUCGGUCGGGUGGGGUGCGAAGCGAGGCUGGGCUCGCGCCGCGGCUGGAGGAGCAGUCGCCCCGUCGCCCUCCUCUCUCCGCCGCCGGAGGCGCGGCGACGGCCCGCCCUGUGGGGGGUUUUCCCCGCUCUCCUCCGUCUGGCUCGUCCAGGCGGCGGGGGGUCGGGGGGGCUUCUCGCGGGGCGGUGUCCGGCGCCGUGCGGAAGGCGGGUCGUGGGAGGGGGCCGGGUACGGCGGGUGCGGCUGCGACUCUGGACGCGCGCCGGGCCCUUCUCGCGGAUCUCCCCAGCUGCGGCUCCCGCCGGGGGUCCCCCCGUCUCGGCGGUGGGGCUCCCCCCGGCGGGCUGCCUCGGCCGGCACCUAGCAGUGACUUAGAACUGGUGCGGGACCAGGGGAAUCCGACUGUUUAAUUAAAACAAAGCAUCGCGAGGGCCCGCGGCGGGUGUUGACCGAUGGUGAUUUCUGCCCAGUGCUCUGAAUUCAAAGUGAAGAAAAAUCAAGCGCGGGUAAACGGCGGGAGUAACUAUGUCUCUCUUUUAAGGUAGCCAAAUGCCUCGUCAUCAAUUAGUGACCGCUGAAGGGUGAACGAGAUUCCCACUGUCCCCAACCUCCUAUCUAGCGAAACCACAGCCAAGGGAACGGGCUUGCAGCAUCAGCGGGGAAAGAGACCUGUUGAGCUUGACUCUACUGGCACUGUGAAGAGACAUGAGAGGUGUAGAAUAAGUGGGGGGCCCUCGCCCGCCGGUGAAAUACCACUACUCUUAUCGUUUUUUCACUUACCCGGUGGGGCGGGGAGGCGUGCCCCGAGCGGGCUCUCGCUCUGGUGUCAAGCGCCCGGCUUCCAGGCCGGUCGUGACCGCUCGGGGACAGUGGCAGGUAGGAGUUUGACUGGGGCGGUACACCUGUCAAACGGUAACGCAGGUGUUCCUAAGGCGAGCUCAGGGAGGACAGAAACCUCCCGUGGAGUAGAAGGCAAAAGCUCGCUUGAUCUUAUUUUCAGUAUGCAAUACAGACCGGGAAACGGGGCCUCACGAU
rnacentral:rRNA from 1 species